rnacentral:lncRNA from 1 species
CGGUGGCUGAACUUAGUGGAGCUGAGGAGCUGAACUGGAGGGUCUCUCUGAACACUAGAGUUUUGCUUGGGACAAUCUUGUGCACGGUGCAAGAGGGUUUUUGAAAUGGUCUUCAAGUACCAGCAAACCUGGAAUUCUGAGCCAUCAUCUUUUUGGCAAGGCAAAACCUGAAGAAGCAGAAGAACUUUAGAUCCAGAAAAAGUGGAUAAUUUGUCAAAGGUCACACAAUUGGCAAGUGACAGAAGUGAGAUUUGAACACAGGUCAGGCUUCCAGACAGAAAGAUACAAACUAGGCUGGCCCUACUUGAGGUUCCUGAAGGGAAAUACUGAGAAGAUACCAGAAGAGCUGGCAGUGUCCAUAAGGUUCCUAUCCACAGAUCCUUGGUAUACUAGAGAUUUCAGGUUUUCGAUAGCUGUAGCUGGAUCACCUGCAGGAGCAGUUGCCAGAAUGCAAUUCCAGACCUGUUCCUUUCCUGGAUAACUAUGACAGAGGACACUGGGUUAUUGCUAUUUUUAAGGCUUUUGUGGUCAGUAUUCUGGGUGGACUUUAUCAAAAUCAUAUGGGAGAUGUUGGUCAAGUUGGUGGCAAUGUUCUGACUGGCUUGAUUCAUGUUUAUUUUCCUAAGAGACUUCUAGGAAAUAAUAUAACAUUUUUUUCCAGAAAAGCUUCCAUUUUUGAUGUUUUUGUUUAAUUAUUUUUCUUUGUCAUAAAGAAGUGUUCAUUUUGGAGGAAGAUUAGAAAUUGACUGAUACAAAGACAAAAUACAUCAAUAAAACAUAUUAACAAAAAAAGAUGAUUUAUAGU